UACAGAGGGUGCAAGCGUUAUUCGGAAUUACUGGGCGUAAAGCGUGCGUAGGCGGUUAUUUAAGUCAGGUGUGAAAGCCCAGGGCUCAACCUUGGAAUUGCAUUUGAGACUGAAUAGCUAGGGUGCGGAAGAGGGAAGCGGAAUUUCCGGUGUAGCGGUGAAAUGCGUAGAUAUCGGAAGGAACACCAGUGGCGAAAGCGGCUUCCUGGGCCAGCACCGACGUUCAGGCACGAAAGCGUGGGGAGCAAACAGG
rnacentral:rRNA from 1 species